rnacentral:rRNA from 1 species
GACGAACGCUGGCGGCGUGCUUAACACAUGCAAGUCGAACGGAAAGGCCCUGCUUUUGUGGGGUGCUCGAGUGGCGAACGGGUGAGUAACACGUGAGUAACCUGCCCUUGACUUUGGGAUAACUUCAGGAAACUGGGGCUAAUACCGGAUAGGAGCUCCUGCUGCAUGGUGGGGGUUGGAAAGUUUCGGCGGUUGGGGAUGGACUCGCGGCUUAUCAGCUUGUUGGUGGGGUAGUGGCUUACCAAGGCUUUGACGGGUAGCCGGCCUGAGAGGGUGAACGGCGACAUUGGGACUGAGAUACGGACCAGACUCCUACGGGAGGCAGCAGUGGGGAAUAUUGCACAAUGAGCGGAAGCCUGAUGCAGCAACGCCGCGUGCGGGAUGACGGCCUUCGGGUUGUAAACCGCUUUCGCCUGUGACGAAGCGUGAGUGACGGUAAUGGGUAAAGAAGCACCGGCUAACUACGUG